rnacentral:rRNA from 1 species
GGCGAACGCUGGCGGCGUGCUUAACACAUGCAAGUCGAACGCUGAAGCUCAGCUUUUGUUGGGUGGAUGAGUGGCGAACGGGUGAGUAACACGUGAGUAACCUGCCCCCUUCUUUGGGAUAACGCCCGGAAACGGGUGCUAAUACUGGAUAUUCACUGGUCUUCGCAUGGGGGUUGGUGGAAAGGGUUUUUCUGGUGGGGGAUGGGCUCGCGGCCUAUCAGCUUGUUGGUGGGGUGAUGGCCUACCAAGGCUUUGACGGGUAGCCGGCCUGAGAGGGUGACCGGUCACAUUGGGACUGAGAUACGGCCCAGACUCCUACGGGAGGCAGCAGUGGGGAAUAUUGCACAAUGGGCGCAAGCCUGAUGCAGCGACGCCGCGUGAGGGAUGGAGGCCUUCGGGUUGUGAACCUCUUUCGCUCAUGGUCAAGCCGCAACAAUGGUUGUGGUGAGGGUAGUGGGUAAAGAAGCGCCGGCUAACUACGU